UACAGAGGGUGCAAGCGUUAAUCGGAAUUACUGGGCGUAAAGCGUGCGUAGACGGUAGCGUAAGUCGGGUGUGAAGCCCGGGCUCAACCUGGGAAUUGCAUUCGAGACUGCUCUGCUAGGGUGCGGAAGAGGGGAGCGGAAUUUCCGGUGUAGCGGUGAAAUGCGUAGAUAUCGGAAGGAACACCAGUGGCGAAAGCGGCUCCCUGGGCCGAUACUGACGCUGAGGAGCGAAAGCGUGGGGAGCGAACGAGGA
rnacentral:rRNA from 1 species